rnacentral:rRNA from 1 species
AUUGAACGCUGGCGGCAGGCUUAACACAUGCAAGUCGAGCGGAGACGAGGUGCUUGCACCUUAUCUUAGCGGCGGACGGGUGAGUAAUGCUUAGGAAUCUGCCUAUUAGUGGGGGACAACAUUCCGAAAGGAAUGCUAAUACCGCAUACGCCCUACGGGGGAAAGCAGGGGAUCUUCGGACCUUGCGCUAAUAGAUGAGCCUAAGUCGGAUUGGCUAGUUGGUGGGGUAAAGGCCUACCAAGGCGACGAUCUGUAGCGGGUCUGAGAGGAUGAGCCGCCACACCGGGACUGAGACCCGGCCCAGAAUCCUACGGGAGGCAGCAGUGGGGAAUAUUGGACAAUGGGCGGAAGCCUGAUCCAGCCAUGCCGCGUGUGUGAAGAAGGCCUUUUGGUUGUAAAGCACUUUAAGCGAGGAGGAGGCUACCUGGAUUAAUACUCUAGGAUAGCGGACGUUACUCGCAGAAUAAGCACCGGCUAACUCUGUGCCAGCCGCCGCCGUAAGAC